AUUGGGAAAUUGCCUAAUAGGGUUUA
rnacentral:sRNA from 1 species